AUGAAGAAGCAAGAGAUGCCAGUGCAUCGACUGAAGCUAAUGGCAGCGAGUCAGAAGAAACUUAUGAGCCUUCUGAUGGAGACACAGCUCACGUACCUGACACAAGUGUACGUACAUUUUUGUCACUAUGUUCUGUGUACAUAUAUAUUGUUUCAUACAUUACUAAAAAGUUUCUUUCCGAUGCUAAAUUCUACAGGUUGAGGCGGCAGGAGAAUCGAAAUUAGUGACAGUGAUGGAAGUUGAAAUACCUGAGAAGACCCACAGUGAUGUCACCAUUUCAAGUAGUUAACAAUGUAAGCUAACUCUUGCAACAAAUAAAAUGUACUAUUUACUGUUCAAAUGUAUAAAAUUUAUAUUAUGCAGGUCAUACGGGAGUUGGAUACCAAAGCCGUUGGUGAUUUGGCUGCAGCCACUGAUUUGGAGGUAACAAUUUGUGUGUUUCAAUUCCUAUUUUCGGAAUAGCAUACAUAGGAUUAUAUGUGUACAUUAUAUAUACUUGUGUACGUUAACUUGCACAGGUAGUCAUGGAAGAGCCGUGUAUUGUCGAGGGGUCUGUAGAAACUGAGGAUCCUAACCCAGGGUCAGAUGAAGCAGACAAGACCGAUAUUCCUAAAAAUAAUGUAUGUACCUAUUUUAAACAUA
rnacentral:sRNA from 1 species